rnacentral:rRNA from 1 species
GGGACAACCCGCCGAAAGGCGGGCUAAACCCGCGUACAUGCCACCGGGGCAUCCCGGAGGCAGGAAAGGCUUCGGCCGGACAGGGAUGGGCAUGCGGCGCAUUAGGCAGUAGGCGGGGUAACGGCCCACCUAACCGACGAUGCGUAGGGGUUCUGAGAGGAAGGUCCCCCACACUGGUACUGAGACACGGACCAGACUCCUACGGGAGGCAGCAGUGAGGAAUAUUGGUCAAUGGUCGGGAGACUGAACCAGCCAAGCCGCGUGAGGGAUGAAGGUACAGAGUAUCGUAAACCUCUUUUGUCAGGGAACAAAGGCGGGGACGUGUCCCCGGAUGAGUGUACCUGAAGAAAAAGCAUCGGCUAACUCCGUGCCAGCAGCCGCGGUAAUACGGAGGAUGCGAGCGUUAUCCGGAUUUAUUGGGUUUAAAGGGUGCGCAGGCGGUCUGUUAAGUCAGCGGUCAAAGCCCGGGGCUCAACCCCGGCCCGCCGUUGAAACUGGCAGUCUCGAGUUGGAGAGAAGUAUGCGGAAUGCGCGGUGUAGCGGUGAAAUGCAUAGAUAUCGCGCAGAACUCCGAUUGCGAAGGCAGCAUGCCGGCUCCACACUGACGCUGAGGCACGAAAGCGUGGGUAUCGAACAGGAUUAGAUACCCUGGUAGUCCACGCAGUAAACGAUGAAUGCUGGCUGUCCG